rnacentral:rRNA from 1 species
CCGAACGUAGUAACAUCCCGUUACGACGUCCGCCGGUAGGCGACANGAACCUCAACUCUUCGGGUUGACCUCGGAUCAGGUAGGGAUACCCGCUGAACUUAAGCAUAUCAAUAAGCGGAGGACAAGAANCAACAGGGAUUGCCUUNAGUAACGGCGAGUGAAGCGGCAACAGCUCAAAUUNGAAAUCUGGCCCCCCUGGGGUCCGAGUUGUAAUUUGUAGAAAGAUGCUUCGGGCGUGGCGCCGGUCUAAGUUCCUUGGAACAGGACGUCACAGAGGGUGAGAAUCCCGUACGUGACUACGCGCCCAUGCCCGUGUGAAGCUCUUUCGACGAGUCGAGUUGUUUGGGAAUGCAGCUCAAAAUGGGUGGUAAAUUUCAUCUAAAGCUAAAUAUAGGCCAGAGACCGAUAGCGCACAAGUAGAGUGAUCGAAAGAUGAAAAGCACUUUGGAAAGAGAGUUAAACAGCACGUGAAAUUGUUGAAAGGGAAGCGCUUGCAACCAGACUUGCGCGCGGCCGAUCAUCCGGGGUUCUCCCCGGUGCACUCGGUCGCGCUCAGGCCAGCAUCGGUUCGGGUGGUCGGAUAAAGGCCGCGGGAAUGUGGCUCCCCUCGGGGAGUGUUAUAGCCCGCGGCGCCAUGCGACCCACCGGGACCGAGGACCGCGCUUCGGCUAGGAUGCUGGCGUAAUGGUUGUAAGCGACC